rnacentral:rRNA from 1 species
GGAGGUAGUGACAAUAAAUCACAAUGCGGAACAAUGUUUUGCAAUUGGAUUGAGAACAACGUACAAACCUUAUCGAUAAACAAUUGGAGGGCAAGUCUGGUGCCAGCAGCCGCGGUAAUUCCAGCUCCAAUAGCGUAUAUUAACGUUGUUGCAGUUAAAAAGCUCGUAGUUGAAAUGAAGGGUAGUUGUGUAAUGAAUACAUUCGUGUAUUUUGUUAUUCAAGUAUCCUCCUUCUAAAUUCGAUAUAUGAGUAUUAAUUUACUUGUAUAUGGUUUUAGACUUUUACUGUGAGAAAAUUAGAGUGUUCAAAGCAGGCAUUUGCUUGAAUAUAUUAGCAUGGAAUAAUCAUGUAUGAUUUUCAUGAUGUAUUUGAUUGGUUUGGUUGAUGAGAAUAAGAUUAAAAGGGACAGUUGGGGGUAUUCAUAUUCAAUAGUCAGAGGUGAAAUUCUCGGAUUUAUGGAAGAUGAACAAGUGCGAAAGCA